AGGAGGGUUAGAGGUAGACAGAGAGAGGCAGUAGAGGAGGGUUAGAGGUAGACAGAGAGAGGCAGUAGAGGAGGGUUAGAGGUAGACAGAGAGAGGCAGUAGAGGAGGGUUAGAGGUAGACAGAGAGAGGCAGUAGAGGAGGGUUAGAGGUAGACAGAGAGAGGCAGUAGAGGAGGGUUAGAGGUAGACAGAGAGAGGCAGUAGAGGAGGGUUAGAG